UCAACUGAAUGACCUCUGAUUUUGUCUGCUGACCAACCUUGUUGAUGUUGCUGGAUAACACCUUGUGAAUUUAGACUGCUUUUGGGGUUUUGAAGAUUGAAGCUACAAGUCAAGAUGCAAGUUUAGAAGAUGCACAAGCUAUUAUUAUUUUGCUAAAAAUGUUAUGCAAAACUUGAUAUCAUAGUCUACCUCAGGAUGUUAGCUACAUUUUUUUUGUUGAGGUGUUGAGAAAACAUAGAAAGUAACAUCAUCAUGGGAUAUGAACUUGAUAUAUUAUCUUUUUAUAUCUGGAUUUUUCAAUACCAAUUUGAUAUUUAUUGAUAAAAAUUACUUU